CCACUUUAAAGAUUACAUCGACUUGAUUAUCUGGAAGGUGCAAUUUUUGGACCGACAUCACCUAUUGAUCAAGUUUGGCAGUGUUGAUGGUGGGGUAUCUCGAAAUGCUGAUAGCCAUCCUUCUUUUUU